CCUCCUCAGAGAGGCCCUUUUGCCCCCUCUUGCCAGGUAGCUUAAGUACGUCCACUGGGGACUCCUGUUCCCCUCAUUCAUGGCCCUGGUCUCUGCAUUUCUAGGUCAUAAUGCUCAUGGGACACGGCCACCUCCCCAGCAGACUGGGAGCUUCCUGAAAGAAGGGCCUGCCUUGAGGGCGUGGUGGGUCUUGGAGCUGCACCAGCAGGAGCUCAAGAAAUGGGACCUCCCUGACCAGGUCAGGAGGGAGCCGCCUCCCCUGAAGCUGGCUCCUGUGUGUCCUGACUGCUCAGCCUGACCUGUGGAUUCAGUGGAUUUUGAAGAUGUGAGGACCGGACGGGACCUAAUUGUGACAAGGAGACUGGGCUGCAGAACCAGGGCAGAUGGAGGGAGCAGAGAGGUAUGCAGGCUGAUCCAGCAAGGAGGGGAAGUUGCCUGGGGAGGUUUGGAGUCCAGAUGGGAGAGAAAGAGGUGGUCGGUCACAGGCUGGCCACUCCUGGGCAGGCACGGGACAUUGACAGAGAGAAGCUCUACAUCAGGGUCCUGUGGGUUACUGGUAUCUGUUGUGACCUGACCUGCAGAUGCCUCAGCACAGGAAGGGAAGACUUGGACUGCUCAGAGGCCGAGCUAAGCCAAAGCUGCUCUCCCAUACACCUCCCUGAGGAGUCGGGGACCAGCUGAUCUGCUAUCCCUUGGGGAGGGCAACUGCAGGAAUAGGGCCUGGCCAGGCCUGUCCUGUUUGGUGUUGAAGACUGGGGGGAGGUUCCCAGCAGCUGACCCGGGGAAGCUGCAAUGGGCGGGACCUCUGCAACAGGCACCAGGUGGCACUGGCACCAGGGUAGCCACCCAACUUCCCACUUCCCUGGGAAAUGGACCUGGCAGGCAUGCUGGUACACAAGGCCUGCUGCACUGGGGCUCAGAGGGUCCCAGAUGAAGGUUGACUUUGGACUUUAAUUUUUCCUGCAGCAGGAAAGUAAGCAAGCCAGACCAGUCCUGCUGGCCAAGGCCAGCCCUGGCCCCUUCAAGGAAGCCUGAACUGUCUUGAGGGAUCUCUGAGCUUUGGGGAACUUUGGGGGAAGUUGAUGAGGGUUGGGAGUUGCCCCAGGCUGGGUGUAGGGUGGGACCUGUCCCUCCUUCAUAACCCUUUGCUCUGGUCCUUAUGCCUGCUGAGCCCUGUCUUCCCAGCAGCUGGGCUGGGAAUCUGGGGCAGAGGGACCUCCUCCUAUCCUCUCUGUGUCCACAGGCUCAUGUCUAAACAGGCAUUGGGCCAAGCCCCAGGUUUCUGCAGGAAAGACCAAGAGGAUCCCUCCAAUCCAAUUACUCAAAUGUGCCUGCAUCCGCCGGUGGCGCCGAGAUUGGGCCGGCCCAUUUCUGCCUGGAUGCCAGCCGCACAGGGGUUGGCAUAGCAACAUGAGCUCUGAUCUGCUGAAACUUGGAGUCAAUUCGUCACUGGGAGGACAGAAAGAAAGACUGAAGAGGACGCCUUUAAAAGUGAUGCGGGUCAAACAAAUCCAGGCUAAUCCCUGAAAUCCACAAAAAUGGGGUCUGGCAUUAACACGUGUGCCAUAACAGCGACUCCCAGUGACAUGGUGUGCCAGAUUUGGGUGUGUGAGACACGCUCCUCCACUGGCAUUCUACUCCACAGGAGGGAGUUCUGGACAGGAUCAGACCGCCAGCCCCCUGAUGGCUUACUGCGCAGCUGUGUUUUCAAACUUUUAAACCAAGCAGCAGAACCUUUUCUUAAACAAUCUCACCCAGCACCUCUUUAUAUAAAACAAUAAUCAGCCUACGAGGGGAGGCCUGGAGAGGCAACUCCCACCCCCUCCAGAAACCCCUAUCUUACCUGAGGAGGAGCCACUGGGACCCUCUUGAUCUUCGUCUGAAGAGGGGGCGCCACUGCAGUCAGGACCUGAAACGAGAUGAGCGGUUCACAGAGGUGUCCGGAACUCAACCGACAGCCAUCCAGCAGCCCAGAACAGGCUUUCACCCUCUUUGAAAAUAAGAUCACAUCAAGUCAAGGAUUCAAAAUGGGAAAAAUUCAAUCAGAGCCUCCCUCGGGCCAGCUACACAUCUCAAUACACUCGUCGGCCAGCAGAAUCGGCUCCCGCUACAACCCAGCUCAGCAUCAUCGUUCAAAACGCACCGGCAGGUCUUUGCUCACACUGUCCCAUCGCGCUGGAACCCCUGCUCACCUGGCCAGCUGCUCCUCCCCUUCGACCUGAGCUGGUAUGUCUCUUUCUCAGGGAAGCCUUCCCAGUCUCCCCUCACAUUUAUUAUUAGGGACUCCCAUAGGGAGCACCCAUUGCUCCCAUCCCUGCCUCUGAAGAGGCUGAAUCCAGGGUCACAUACCAAACAGUCCUGGCUACCAGUAUUCAGACAAGGCUGUGGGGAAGGACAACGUUGAGGGGGGGAGGAAUAUGCCCCAGAUGCGGUUCCCCAAGGGAGAUGCUGAAUCUGGUUCUGGGAAGUUAGGGGCCUCAUAGGAGGAGGGGGCUGUCCAAAAGGCAGGCAGGUGUGUGGAAUGUGCCUGAACUGUGGCCACGUGGACCCCGUGCUGUAGCCACAGCUGUGGAUGAGGACAGGCAGAGGACAAAAGGGGGUCAAGGACAGAACCACGGGACUCAUCCCAUUUUUGUCUUGGUGAAGAAAAAGGAGCCAAAAUGAGCACUUGGGAGAAGGCAGAAGAACGCAAAAAAGGUGGCUAAAAUAUAGCCCUGUGUUUUUUUAUUUAGUUCUCAGAUAAUCUUACAUUUUUUCGUUUUCACUUAGAAUAGCUGGAAAAGGAGGGCCCUACGUGGCAGUCCCUGGAUGAGAAAACCAUGUGUCAAAGCUGUUGCCGAAUCCCUCGCUCUAUUUUUACCUUCCUGACACUACCUCUUUGAGUACUGAGGAGGGCUCCUGGCCUGAGGUGGCCCCAGCUGGCAUCUCCAAGGCCAGUGUGGCCAGCCCUCGCUUCGUUCUCCAGAAACCACCAAAAAGCCAGCUAUUCACUUCUCUUGAGCAGGAGUAAAUGCAUUAGACAAAUGUUCUCAGGCAAACGUAAAGGAUGUGAACACCAAAUUACUCCAUGAAUUACUUUUGUUUCCUUUCCUCAGUUCCAAUUUGGGUUGUUUUGUUGUUGUUGUUAUUGUUGUUCACAUCAGCACAACAAUUAAAGUUGGACGGUAAUUAAUGUUCUUAAAAUAGAACAUCCAUGUUCCCAAGUUUAGAAGGAAAAACCACCCGGGAGUGAAAGAACGUGGAUGUGUGUGACCUGCUGUUCCACUCGCCACAGAACCUUUUCCGAGCCUCAGUGGGGAGCGCCUGUCAGGUGGGGUUUGUGGCAGGACACACCACGACGGACCACGUCUGCGGCCGUUUUUCAUUCCGUUCCCGGCUCGAGUUCAAGGAAACCUUUGACAUCCGCGGCCAGGAGCUCUGGGGGUUCACCAACCUCUGAUUACAUUUCUUUUUAAAAAUAUUGAUGAACAGUCCCUCUAUCAUUUCGAAACACUGAGGCUGCGGCUGUUGGCUCCGUGCAAGGCCUCCUCAGGCCGCAGAGCCUCUCCCGGCACCUCAAGGCUCUGGGACUCUCUUUCAAACACUGAGAGAAGAAAACGGUCCCUCUGGGUAGGGGAGGGGGAGGUCACUUCAGGAUCCAAAAUCAGGCUGCCCAGGCUGCAGAUGCAGGUUGGGGCAGGGGCGCCCAUUCCUACUCCCACUGCCCCACAGCCUGACACCCCACUGCACAUCUGGUCACCUUGUCCCUGACAUGUCUGCUGCCUGGGAUGGAGAAUAGUGGGACUGGAGAGGAUCACUGCCAGUCCCAUAAGGUCCAGAAGAGCUAAGUGCCAUCCACCCCAUCUCAGAAACACCCACACAGAAGGGCCCUGCAGGCCCAGGCUGCCCUGGAGGAGCUGACUACCAUGUGGGGCUGGGUGGCGGUCCCCAUGCUCUGGGAGGACUCAGUGCCCAAUCAGCUGCUUCUUGCCCACGCUACCAGCUUGUCAUUGCCUGUCCCCAUUGACUGAGGACACCCCCAGCAGCCAGGUAUUGACAUGGCUUCUGUAGUGACCUUGUCUGGAGAAGAGCAUCUCUUUACAGAUGGGGUAUGUCAGUGAUGUCCAUGAUACCCUGAAGCUCCUGAGUGCGUGGGGCUGAGGCCAAGUUCCUGCCAUCAUCACACCUCUCCACUCUACAGCGCAGCAGAGCGGCUACUGUUGUCGCCAUUGUACAGACGCGGAAGCUGAAACUCUGAGAGAUGAAGCACACUGCCCAAGAUCACAGUGGAGGAGGUGGGAUUUGAACCCAGAUCCAUCUGACUCUGAAGCCAAAGCGCUUCUCCAUCUACCCUGCCACAGAGUCUCCCGCGCCCACCUCCUGCCCUUGACACGUGGCCUCUGGAAGGGGCCACCCUCAAAUACAUGCGCCAUGGCCCUGGGUAAGGGAGCUCUGUGGCGGUACCAGCAGCUGUGGCACUUCUUGUCAAGUCCUGCCCGGCUCUGCUGGGGUGCCCCCUUAGUUGGAGGCCCUUGUUGACACGACCCAUUUGGACUGCAAUUUUAUAAGGUAAUUAUGGAUCAGUUUGGUGACCAUCAGGCCCUUCUGCUACAUCCUGGGAAAUGGACCUAACUCUGUUACAGGGUAAAUCAGAUAUAAUCAGCUCCUAAUUCAAUAUGGUGGCUCUAAGUAACAUUUAUCAAGAUACAGAAGCUGGUCCUGUGAGAUAGCCAACAGUGGUGGUUGGAUUAGACUCAGACAAGAAGAACCCAUUUGCUGACAGUUUUAAAAAUUAAGUGGAAGAGACAAACUUUUCCAGUACUGUACGUUAUUACAUACACUCGUGUGUUCCAGGCACAGACAAGGGCAUCUUUUGGAGUGGCCACCUGUACACCUCAGUCUCAUCCUGCCCGUGGCUCAUCCUUCAAAUCUUGACACAAGUGCCUGGACACCUGGAACACCUUCCUGUUCAAAAGCCAACCUGGGCGAUCAGAUGGUGGGCAGGGCUGGCUGUUGCUACCCCUUCUGUGCCCGAGGAUCCUAAAACUCUUAGCUACAGAGCUUAGGUAUAUUGGCAGACUUCCUCCCCAGCUCUGAGUGGGAUAGAAUUUCUCUUUUGAUUGGUGGUUUGGGAGUCACGUAGGCUAAAUAAUAAUCGGAUUAUUGAUUGGGUGAUCGUGAUUGGAUCUGUUACUUUUUGUUUGUUUCUUUGAGAGAGAGAGAAUGAGUGGGGGAGAAGGGCAGAGAGAGAGAAUCUUAAGCAGACUCCACACUCAAAUGUGGGAUUCAAUCCCAUGACCCUGGAAUCAUGACCUGAGCUGAAAUCAGGAGUUGGAUGCUCAACCGACCGAGCCACCCAGAUACCCUGGAUCUGUUACUUUUGCAUCGGAUCGAACUUUAUGUCCCCACUUCCUUCCCAACUGCCAGCCGAGUUGACCAAUAGCAAGGCCCACACCAGACCCCCACCAGACAGUUUUUGCAAACUUACGGAAGCAGUGGCCGUUAAGAGCCGACAAUGUUCCAUAGACUUCUACCCCAGCCUCCCCUAGCUGUAUGGGCCUGCCUUCCAGACCUCUGUGCAAGCUUCAACACCUCUUCACCCAUACUAGGGCUGGCUGGUGACCUUUGAUCCACCAAGUCCCUCGUUUGGACUCUCGCCCCCGUCUCCUCUCACAGUUGUUAAGGUCUAACUCCUGUAAUAAAUUCCUUAUUCCACCACA